UUGAAGCUUUCACACUUCACACACACACACACACUGAGACACAGUCCCCCUUCCCUCUUCACUCUUCCAAUUUACUCAAAUUCAGAGGAAAUCAAGGCCCGUUUCACUUGAAUUCCUCUGCAGCAAGAUGUCCCAGCAGCCAUCCCAGACCAAGAGCCCAGCAGAUGAAAAUCACUCGGAGAUGUACAUUCGAGUUAAGCGCAGCAAGACCACUUACUUCUUGCAAUGCCUUCCCAGUGAAAAAGUUUUACAGAUCAAGGAGAAGUUGCAGAUCCUAAUUGAUCAACCAGUUAAUGACCAGCGAUUGAUUCUGUUGCCAAAUAAAGAAGUACUUGAUGAUUCAAAGUCAUUAGCUGAUCAGAAGGUUGAAAAUGAUGCAGUUGUGGCACUAACCUUGAGAAAAGAUGACAAUGAAUUUGAGGAUGUGAAUAUCGCGAGGCCUACUGAUUACUACCGUGAUGGUGACGGUGGCUCAAAUUGGUGAGAAGAACUAUGUUUGGAGCUGCUGAAAGCCUGAAACUUUACACUCAUAUUCACUGGCUCCUCAAUCCUCCUUUAAUUGAAGUUACACACGUUUGUACUGCGUGCAAUAGCUGUUGGAACAGUUCUUGAUGCAGCCUAUCUGUGCUUUCGCUGCCCGAUGAAUAAGAUGGAAUUUGUUAGUUGUGAGUAAUGUUGGACAAAUAUGGGACUAGAAAUUUGUUAAGACACUUAUAUCUAUUAACAUAUCCAAGUAGUUAGGGAGAUAAAGAUGGCGAUAAAUGUUGCAUUACCCGAAGUUGAAUUGGCGCAUUGGUGAAGUAAACAGCCAUAGUUGCAGAAGAAUGAUCCAUUUGGAGAUGGCCCUUGUGGAUGACAUUUACAUUUGUAACAAUUAUCAAUACAAACAUCAACGUUGUUUUGAUCCGAACAAUCUACUAGGCACUUAGCAAAGCAAUGAUCAUGCGGAACAAUUGGAUCGUCAGGCCAAGAGAAAGAAUCAUCACAAAAUACCAGGACUGUCAUAGCUGUUAGUAGUACUAAUGCUAGCCAUGCAGUCCUCAUUUUUUAGGUAUUUCCUGUGUAUUUGAUUAGCUUAAUCUAUUGCUAAAGUUAAGAGCAGUGUUUA